rnacentral:rRNA from 1 species
UACGUAGGGUGCAAGCGUUAAUCGGAAUUACUGGGCGUAAAGCGUGCGCAGGCGGUGAUGUAAGACAGGUGUGAAAUCCCCGGGCUUAACCUGGGAACUGCAUUUGUGACUGCAUCGCUGGAGUGCGGCAGAGGGGGAUGGAAUUCCGCGUGUAGCAGUGAAAUGCGUAGAGAUGCGGAGGAACACCGAUGGCGAAGGCAGCCCCCUGGGCUAGCACUGACGCUCAGGCACGAAAGCGUGGGAGCAAACAGG